AAAAAGGGCGCUCGUCCUGGCACGUUCCCGAUCACGGAGCUCAAGUGCAGACGCAUUGCGCCGCAGGAGCGUCUCCUUCGCUGCCCCCUCUUACCAGGGGGGUGGCGGGGGCGUGCGUUCAAUUGCCGCCUUUGGCUCCUUGCGCGCCCAGUGGGGUAUGGCUUUGCAUAUCCAGUGCGUAAUUUUUGUCUUUGGGGCAGGCGGCUGCACCUCGAAUGGGUCCGCUUGGAUUGCUCGGGGAUUCACAGUCUCCCUGCGUGCCAGUGGUCCUGUGCGCUGCGCCCCG